AGCGGGAGAGGGUCUGCACUCGCUGCCGCUGCUCCACACCCCAAGAGUCCCCACACCCCAGCGCUCGGAGCUCCAGGAAGCGGGAGAGGGUCCCCAGUUAGACCUUGAGUAGGGAGGGAGUUGGGUGGUCGACAGAUUGGGCUCAGUGAUCGUAACCCGUCCCUGGAGGCAGCUUUCUGAGAGUCCAACCCCUUCCCUGGAGGAUGAAAAUUCCGUAGGGAGGAUUAGCUCCAGUGGACUUGUGAGCUGCCUAUAUCUUACCAGUUUAUUGGUUCUCCACUUCAGGGCUAGGACUUCGUGAUGAAGAGGACAGCUCCUUGAGACUGAAUUUAUUCAUCUGAGGAUACACAUUGGGUGAGAGGCUCCUGAAGAUCUUCUGAACCAACUUUCACCAAGUUCUCUGACUCCCUUGAGUGACGACUCAGAGAUUUUCUCCCUGCAUCCAUCUCUCCUCCACCAGUGCAAGAUCAACCAGUCUGCAUUAGUCUACAUCUGUUGUUCAAGAAGACCAGUUACUAAUACAUAAACUCAUGAAUGCGACAUCAAGCCCUAUCCGACAUGCUCACCACUUUUUUGAUAUUAUCCUUCGAAAUCUCCCCGCAUAUUUCCCUUCUAACACCCAAGAGAUCACCAGUUCCCAACUUAGAGAUUUCAUUCUUGAUCUCUUUCUCCAGGGUGAUCUUAUGGAUUUCACUUGGGAUGAAGUAAUGCAGUUCCUGGAACUUCCAUAAAAUAUGCCAUUAUGUCUCUCCUUACAAUAAAAGUGGAUCUGGAUCUUG
rnacentral:lncRNA from 1 species